GGCCCCUCACCACAAGACAUGAAGCUGGUAAAGGGUCUGGAUACGAGUCUUGUGAGGAGCAGCUGAGGGAACUGAGGUUGUUUAGCCUGGAGAGAAG